rnacentral:lncRNA from 1 species
CAUCUCCCGGAGCUAUACCGUACGUAUACACGCUGCUGCAAUCCAUUACUUUUACUCAAGUCCAAACCCUUUUCCAUCAUCUCCUGUGACAUUUCUCCAGCCUUCCCGUUUGCAUCCAUUUUUAUUCUUUCACUAUCGCUUAUCUUAUUUUCAAAUUAACUAUCGCACAAAAUAUUUUUUUAUUAAAUUGAAUUCUCUACAAAUUGAAUAUAUUUUCAUAAAUGAAUUUAUCUCUUUUUCAGAUGAUUACUAUUUUUCACUCAUCUAAGCAUAAUAUUUGAAAUCAAUAUCAACAACUAACUAACAUUCCACCAGAAGAAAGAAACAAAAAUCAAUUUUCCAACUGAGCAUAAGAAUUCACAAGGUGUACAAGGCGAAACUCGGAAGCUUUUAACGCCGUACUUUCCUUUCAGGAAAACGGGAACGAGAGGAGCCUCUGUGGAAAAAAAGCAACAACGAAGGAGCAGAUGAUACGAUACGGAGUCUGGAGGAACACGGUCGUGAAGCUAGGAGAGAGAGCGUGGAGAGAGUGUCUCAAUGUCUCCCAGAAGACUGAACCUAAGCAAUUUGUGCUUUCAUUCGCACAAAGCUCGAGCGCCGAGGAAAAUGCCGGCAUUUAACGUUGGCAACGAGGAAUCAGGUAUUCCAAGCCUGGAACAGGGAAUGGAUUACACGUGGAAAAUUAUUCUGGCAAGCGGCAUGUUUCAAACAAUGCGGUCGGUUCCUCGGAACACGACCCGGCGAUAAGCGGCUGCAACGUCGAAAAUCGUAGAUACAAUAACGUAAAUAAUCGUUAGGUAAACAAUAGCAUAGUUGUUGUUCGUUCCUACAUUGUUUACGCGGCUUGUCAACAUUAUUACAUUUUCGAGAUCACCGAAACAAAGCUUUCCAAUGCUUUAAAACGAAAUACAAGCAGAAUGAAAUCACAACUCAAAGCGACCACGAAAACCUGAAGUUAUUCGAAGGGGGCAUUCUUAUGACUAACACUGAAAUAUGUCGAAUUUCUCGUGGCGGAGAGCAAAGAAAAAUCAAGGGGGUCGCGAGAAGCACUUUGAUUAAAGUAUGUCGCGCGGUUUUAACUCGCGGCCCAAUUUGUUUCCCCCUUAAAACGCAGAAGAGGAUGAAACUUUUCGUUCAGAAUGGAAUUUUGGAAUUGCGAAUGACAAGCUAGAAGCCACGAGGGUUGUGUUGCGGCUGACCUAUCUUUUGAUGUUCGCCUUUUGGAGGAAGAAAUCUCUCUGUUUAUUACAAAAUUGAGAUUCUUUCAAAUAAUAUCGUAUAUUUUCAAUGUAUAAGGAUUGAUAAUUUUAUCGAUCAGUAAGGUUUCUUUUAUAUAACAUAUUCAUAGGAAAUGAUGGUUGGAAUCAUGAUUAAAUGAACGGCAAUAUCGCGAAACACGUGAGGAUCUUUUCUAUAGCGACAAAGGCUAACGUAACAGGCGAAUGUAAUUACAGUUUCCUCGUUAUUUUCCGUCACGAAUGCGGAGCAGAAAACUCGGUGAAACUUAUCUUGCGUAACGAUUGUUCAUGAUUCGUAACGAAACACGCGUGGCACGUUCAGGGAAGUAUCGAUCACAAUUCGUGUGAAUCUGAAAGCAAAAAUGCCGAAGAAUUAUGAUUAAUUUUUUACAUUUAUAUAAUUUUUGUUUAAAUAUAUUUUUGAUACAAAGAUAUAAAGUAUUAAAAUAUUCGAUAAUAUCGAUUAAAAGUGUUCAAAUGUACAUGCAUUUUUGUAACAGAUUGUUUUCAUUAUCUAUGUUCCCUUGGCACGUCUAAACGUUGAAUCACAUCGAUCAAAUAGGGUUCACGGUGUGACUGCGACACGUCGAGUUGACAAAGAAUGAUCGUGCGUCGAGCCACGUGUGUUUCUUAUACCAUGAUUGCUGGUUGCUUUACAUUUGUCUACGUGAUUUUCCUUGCUAUACGUCACAU